rnacentral:tRNA from 11 species
GAGGCUAUAGCUUAACUGGUAAAGCAUACUGCUCAUAACAGUACUUCAUAAGUGUUCAACUCACUUUGGCCUUA